rnacentral:rRNA from 1 species
AUGCCGAACUUCUCUCAGAAGUCACCGCAGGAUUGGGAGUUUCAGGAUCGAACAGGAGGAUGCAUCAGUAAUACACCGUUACACUGUACUAGUGACAAAAACAUCACAAGUUCAACGGACAUGUUCCAGCCCAUUUCUCAAGUUACAUUGCCCUACAACCCACAAAGCAUAGUUGCUGCCACUCAGAGCCAAUGCGAAGAAGCUUGUCUCAGAACAUGCUCUUGCACAGCUUAUUCCUAUAAUGCUAACAGAUGCUCUGUAUGGAAUGGGGAAUUGCUUAGUGUGAGUCUGGAUGAUGGCGUUGUUUACACUUCUAAAGAUAUUCUUUAUCUCCGUCUUUCUGCCAAAGAUUUCUUGCCAAAUUUGAGAAAAACCAAAAGAAAACCAAAUGUUGGAAUUGUUGCUGCGGCAAGCAUUGCUGGUAUUGGGUUACUCAUGUUCAUGUUCUUGUUACUGAUUUGGAGGAUCAAAUUCAAGUCAUGUGGUUUCCUGCCGAUAUACUACGGCAAUCAAGAUAGUGCUGGUGGAAUUAUAGCCUUUAGAUACACUGAUUUAGUUCGUGCUACUAAAAACUUCUCGGAAAAGCUGGGAGGAGGGGGUUUUGGUUCAGUAUACAAGGGGGUGUUAAGUGACCCAAAGACUACCAUAGCAGUGAAAAGGCUUGAUGGUGCCCAUCAAGGAGAGAAGCAGUUUAGGGCUGAGGUCAGCUCAGUUGGACUGAUCCAACAUAUCAACCUAGUAAAAUUGAUUGGUUUCUGCUGCGAAGGUGAUCACAGGUUACUUGUGUAUGAAUACAUGUUAAAUGGGUCUCUUGAUGGUCAUCUAUUUAAGAGAAAUGAUGCCACUGCUGUUCUAAAUUGGAACAAUAGAUAUCAAAUAGCCCUAGGAGUUGCCAAAGGAUUGUCCUACUUACAUCAGAGUUGUCACAAAUGCAUCAUACAUUGUGACAUUAAGCCAGGAAACAUACUAUUGGACACAUCAUUUGCUCCAAAAGUUGCAGACUUUGGGUUGGCGGCGUUUGUGGGAAGGGAUUUUAGCCGAGUUUUGACUACGAUCAGGGGCACUGCGGGUUAUCUUGCCCCGGAGUGGCUUAGUGGAGUUGCAAUCACACCGAAGAUCGAUGUUUACAGCUUCGGCAUGGUACUGCUGGAAAUCAUAUCAGGAAGGAGGAAUUCCUCACUUGAAACAUCAUACUACACUAGCAGCAGCAGUAACAACAAUGUCGAGUAUUUCCCUGUACAAGCCAUCAGCAAGCUUCACGGUGGAGAUGUGAAGAGUUUGGUGGAUCCAGAAUUACAUGACGACUUCAAUUUGGAAGAGGCUGAAAGAGUUUGCAAAGUUGCGUGUUGGUGCAUCCAAGAUAAUGAUUUUGAUCGGCCGACUAUGGGUGAAGUGGUCCGGAUUCUUGAGGGUCUGCAGAAGAUCGAUAUGCCCCCCAUGAUAAGGCUACUUGCAGCUCUAACAGAACACUGA